UACAGAGGGUGCAAGCGUUAAUCGGAAUUACUGGGCGUAAAGCGUGCGCAGACGGUUGCGUAAGUCAGAUGUGAAAGCCCCGGGCUCAACCUGGGGAAUUGCAUUUGAGACUGCGUAGCUAGGGUGCGGAAGAGGGAAGCGGAAUUUCCGGUGUAGCGGUGAAAUGCGUAGAUAUCGGAAGGAACACCAGUGGCGAAAGCGGCUUCCUGGUCCAGCACCGACGUCAGGCACGAAAGCGUGGGGAGCAAACAGG
rnacentral:rRNA from 1 species